GAUGAAGAACGCAGCGAAAUGCGAUAAGUAAUGUGAAUUGCAGAAUUCAGUGAAUCAUCGAAUCUUUGAACGCACCUUGCGCCCUUUGGCCAUUCCGAAGGGCAUGCCUGUUUGAGUAUCAUGAACACCUCAACUCUCAUGGCUCGCCAUGAUGAGCUUGGAUUUGGGGGUCUUGCUGGCCUAUGGUCGGCUCCUCUCAAAUGGAUCAGCUUGCCAGUGUUUGGUGGCAUCACAGGUAUGAUAACUAUCUGCGCUUGUGGUUUUCCAUCAGAUAACCUUCAGUGAUGGAGGUUCGCUGGAGCUCAUAAACGUCUCCCCUAAGCGGGGACAGCCCUUUGAAUGUUUGAUCUCAAAUCAGGUAGGACUACCCGCUGAACUUAAGCAUAUCAAUAAGCGGAGGA
rnacentral:misc_RNA from 1 species